CCUACGGGUGGCAGCAGUGGGGAAUAUUGGACAAUGGGCGAAAGCCUGAUCCAGCCAUGCCGCGUGUGUGAAGAAGGCCUUCGGGUUGUAAAGCACUUUCAGUGGGGAAGAAAGCCUUGGGGCUAAUACCCUCGAGGAAGGACAUCACCCACAGAAGAAGCACCGGCUAACUCCGUGCCAGCAGCCGCGGUAAUACGGAGGGUGCGAGCGUUAAUCGGAAUUACUGGGCGUAAAGCGCGCGUAGGCGGUCUGAUAAGCCGGUUGUGAAAGCCCCGGGCUCAACCUGGGAACGGCAUCCGGAACUGUCAGGCUAGAGUGCAGGAGAGGAAGGUAGAAUUCCCGGUGUAGCGGUGAAAGGCGUAGGGAUCGGGAGGAAUACCAGUGGCGAAGGCGGCCUUCUGGACUGACACUGACGCUGAGGUGCGAAAGCGUGGGUAGCAAACAGGAUUAGAUACCCAGUAGUC
rnacentral:rRNA from 1 species